UCCGAAAGAGCGAGUGUCCAAAAGCAGUGCUUCACGAUCGGUUUUUUAUAGGUUGUAAGAGUCCCGUUGGACGUACAAAGAUCAUCCAUCGUGAUCCCGUGGCCCUCACUGCUCUCCCCUGCUGUCCCAGCUAGGAUGCAGAGUAUAAAUCCUUGUAAAUCAUGUCAAAAGUCAUUCUUCCCAAGAUGAUUGUUCAAAGGACUUUGAAGAUCUGAAUAGCUUCAAAGAGCUAUUUGGGCAGCAAUAUGAGCAUCCGACAGGGACAGAUUGGUGUGAUACAGCAGUACUCCUAAAAAGGUGACUGCACCAGGGAUGAUUGUAGAGAGAAGCUAUACCUGCAGUUUUACCAGCAGAUGCAGAAAAAAUUAGAUGCCUUCUGACUGUCAUUGUUGCCAUCAGCAAGGAGCAAAACUAUUUGUGUUAAACCAGUAUAGCAUCGAUGGGAAGCUUAACGAAGAAGACGCUGUUGACACCACUGGCAAUAUUGGAAGUCCUGUAACCACACAUGCAUCACACCUUCUGUCAUGCUCCAGCCUGUGAGAACUUCUGAAAAAUUUAACAAGGCUUUUCUACUAAAACAAAUAUUCGUGAAUGUCAGUGUUGUACCUUUUGUAAUUUUAAAGUAGAAGCUGCUAAACAGUCAC